rnacentral:ncRNA from 1 species
CUUAUCAAGAGUGGUGGAGGGAACGGCCCUGUGAAGCCCGGCAACCUGCAAUGCGCAAGGUGCUAAAUCCGGCGGCAGAGUAUCGAAAGAUGAGG